rnacentral:rRNA from 1 species
UACGUAGGGGGCAAGCGUUGUCCGGAUUUAUUGGGCGUAAAGAGCGUGUAGGCGGCUUGGUAGGUCUCGCGUCAAAACCUGCGGCCUCAACCGCAGUUCGCGUGGGAAACCACCUAGCUAGAGUCCGGAAGAGGAGAACGGAAUUCCCAGUGUAGCGGUGAAAUGCGCAGAUAUUGGGAAGAACACCAGUGGCGAAGGCGGUUCUCUGGGACGGUACUGACGCUGAGACGCGAAAGCGUGGGGAGCGAACGAGG